rnacentral:rRNA from 3 species
CCCCUAGUAACGGCGAGUGAAGAGGGAAAAGCUCAAAUUUUGAAUCCGACGUCUUCGGCGUCCGAGUUGUAAUCUAGAGAAGUGUUUUCCGUGUCGGACCGUGCACAAGUUCCCUGGAACGGGGCGUCAUAGAGGGUGAGAAUCCCGUACGUGGCACGGACUCCCGGUGCUCUGCGAUACACUCUCAACGAGUCGAGUUGUUUGGGAAUGCAGCUCAAAAUGGGUGGUAAAUUCCAUCUAAAGCUAAAUAUUGGCGAGAGACCGAUAGCGAACAAGUACCGUGAGGGAAAGAUGAAAAGCACUUUGGAAAGAGAGUGAAACAGUACGUGAAAUUGUUGAAAGGGAAGCGUUUGAAGUCAGUCGCGUCUGUCGGGGUUCAGCCUGGCUUCUGCCUGGUGUAUUCCCUGUCCGACGGGUCAGCAUCAGUUUCCGCCGAGAGAGAAAGGCUUGGGGAAUGUGGCCAUCUUCGGGUGGUGUUAUAGCCCUCUGUCAUAUGUCUCGGUGGGGACUGAGGACUGCAGCGCGCCUUACGGCCGGGGUUCGCUCCCUCGGUACGCGCUUAGGAUGCUGGCAUAAUGGCUUUAAGCGACCCGUCUUGAAACACGGACCAAGGAGUCUAACAUGUGCGCGAGUGUUUGGGUGUCAAACCCGAGCGCGUAAUGAAAGUGAAAGGUCGGGAUCACGUACGUGUGCACCGACGCCCGGAGCAGACCUACUGUGACGCAUCUGCGGUGGAGCGUAUAUGUUGGGACCCGAAAGAUGGUGAACUAUGCCUGAAUAGGGUGAAGCCAGAGGAAACUCUGGUGGAGGCUCGUAGCGAUUCUGACGUGCAAAUCGAUCGUCAAAUUUGGGUAUAGGGGCGAAAGACUAAUCGAACCAUCUAGUAGCUGG